ensembl:lncRNA
UCUUUAUUUAAACACAUUUUCAAGGACUUGUUAGAAUGGUUUGCAGAUGAGCCUGUAAAAGUGGACUAGAUGAGUGUACCUAUUCAACAUGAUGACGUUAAAAUGUCCCAGAAAAUCUCCAUAAUCAAAUUUUGCCACUUUUUAGCAACCGCCUUUUUCAGAACAAGCAAAAGCUUUAAAAAGUGCAAGGGUGUGUAAUUGAUGUAUUUUUUGCUGUAAAAUAAAACGUGAUAAUAUCUUGAGCUAGUGUUAAAAGCAGCCCUUAUUUUAAGCAUUUAACCAAAACCCAGAUGAUGGAUCCAGAAGCACUAAAAUUCUCAUUUCCGGGUUUUGGCCUACAAAACAUGUCAUCCCUGCAGCACUCUGAUAAAAAAAACUCUCAUAUUAAAAUCUUCUCGACAGCAAACACCUUUAAAGCCACACAAAUGCUUUCUCCUGGCUGAGCCCGAGUCACAUUACGAGAAUAAUCUUUUGUUUGUUUGUUUGUUUGACCACAUUCUUGGAAUGCUUAAUAACGGCUCCAAACACAUGCAUGGAGUCAGGCCGGCCUCCUCCGUCACGGAUGUCCCUCAGGGUUUGACCAGGAUUUGACUCCACGAUUAGAGAGAGGUAAGGCAGCCCCUGCUGGUGCUUCAUGUUCUGCUAUGGGAUCAUACAGUGCUGCUCUAUAGAGAUAAGAGUCAGCAUCAUCGGAGGAAUCGUGUGCAAUCAUAACCCCAGCAAGAGAUCUGCACAGGGGCACACAAAGCCGCUUCACCAUUACUAAUAUCCCACAAGAGAGACAUUAGCGAUUGUUGGCAGCUUUCCUGGCAUAUCAGCAAGAAGUGUUCAGCAAACUGACAACAGUUUAGUUAACCUCCCAUCAGCGGUUAUCUGAGGUGGAAGAUGUAUGCCUCGCAGUUACAUAAAACAAACAAUAUGUGGCAAAAGUUUACAGCUAUCUGCUCUCUGCGGGCGAUUGGAUAUCCAUGUGACGCUCCUCCACACACACCAAAACAGAAGUUCAUAAACGGGUUCAGGAAAAGAGAUUUCCUGUUGCUGCUGUAGACAGAGUGUGUUGUGCCGUGGAGAGGUGCAGAUGGCAUGAUCUAUCCUUCCAUUCUCCCAUUCCCUCGCUUUGAACCUCCAUUAGUUGGCUCCGCAUUAUCAGAUUUACUGUUAUUGUCACCCCCUGGAUUUGCACUUAUUUGUUUGGGGUAAACAUGUCAGUGCUGUGAACAGUCAGGAUGUGUUGUGAGUUCAGAUUUUCAUACAAACACUUUCAAUGUUGCAAUAUUAGAGUCAGUGUAUUGCCACAAGAAAACGAGCCUUUAAGAUGUGUAUCUCAUUAACUCAUGUCCAUGUCAUUAUAUGUGUGUGUGUCUGUGUGUGUGAGAAAUUAUGUUUUUCAGAAAUAAAUUAAGUCUUAUGAUCAUAUAGGUUUUUUUCCCCCAAAUUUCCCACAAAAAUGUCAUAACCACAAUGCAUCUGGGCAUUUUACUUAUAGGUUUGUUUGUAAUUCUCAUUAUUCUUAAUGGUUAUACCGUAAUAUAGGAGAGUGAUUUUUGUGUUGAAA